GUGCUGGCUUUGGCAGCACGUAGACCUAAAUUGGAAUGAUACAGAGAAGCUUAGCAUGGCCCCUGCGCAAGGACGCACGGAAAUGGCAAAAGGAACAUUGUAGAUGU
rnacentral:snRNA from 1 species